CCAGGAUGUUGGCUUAGAAGCAGCCAUCAUUUAAAGAAAGCGUAAUAGCUCACUGGUCGAGUCGGCCUGCGCGGAAGAUGUAACGGGGCUAAACCAUGCACCGAAGCUGCGGCAGCGAACGUAUCACUUAAAGCGAUUCAGCGGGUUACGAUUGACGGAGCGAAGCGACGUCAAAGCGUAUACAAAGUCGAGUCGGUUUAAGGAUACGUUCGUUGGGUAGGGGAGCGUUCUGUAAGCCCGUGAAGGUGGCCUGUGAGGGUUGCUGGAGGUAUCAGAAGUGCGAAUGCUGACAUAAGUAACGAUAAAGCGGGUGAAAAGCCCGCUCGCCGGAAGACCAAGGGUUCCUGUCCAACGUUAAUCGGGGCAGGGUGAGUCG
rnacentral:rRNA from 6 species